rnacentral:tRNA from 1 species
CAGAAAAUAGUUUAUAAAAAUUUUAAUUUUGGAGAUUAAAGAUAGAAUUGGUAGUUCUUUUUCUGA